UGAUGAUGAUGAGGAGGAUGAUGAUGAAGAUGCAUUAGAUUCAAAGAUGUCCCUCGGGGAAGAUGACAAUGAAACUGAUGAAUAUGAUGAUGAAGAUGAUGAUGAGGAUGAGGAAGAGUCAUCACCUGAAAAGCCAACCAAGAAAAGAAAGGUAAAAUAAUCCCAAUCAAGGCACAUGUGGAUGAUGAGAUGAUCAUUCAACUGAAUGUUCUCAAUGAAAGAGCAACCUCCAUAUGUCACGCGCAAUGGAACAAAAGAUGAAUACAGAGGAGGAGGAUGAUAUUGGAGAAGAGAACGAGGGCGGUAUUGAUAGAGGAGUUGGAAGAUGGAGCAGAAGAAAUCUCUUUAAAGAGAUGAGAGUUGAAUUAGACUGCGAAGAUGACGUUGGAGAUUGCAAAGUGAAGAUUUUACCUUGAUUGCUUCUGAAACCACUAUCAUUCAUGCAAGUCAAAGAAUGGAAGCUGAGUGCUUAAGUCGAGGGUUGAGAAUCAACAUGUUCUAGGGACAGGAAGCAUGAAUGGAAGGAAAUGUCAUCAGGGAAGUCUUGACGAGACACUGAGCAGGAGUGGAGUCAACUCUGUGAAGACAUAAGCCCGCAGUGAAGUCCAAUUUAAGUUUGGGCACGGCCUAAUUCUCUUCUAAAAUAGUUAUGGGAAGCCAAAAAUGUAAAAAAAAAUAUUUAAAAAAAAGAAUGCUGAAGAAGAAAUAGUGUGUUGAGACUAUAUUUUUAAAAUACACCAUUAUCAGUUUCCACAAGGUUUGAAUUAAUUAUUUAACCUUCAAACAGCCAUUUGAAAGACGCCAUUCUGAUCAGUUUCCACAAGUUUUGAAUUAAUUAUUCAACCUUCAAACAGCCAUUUGAAAGAAACUGCCGUCCGAAUCGGUUCAUUGCCAUUUGGUCUAAUAGACACCUAUAAAACAGACAGU